rnacentral:lncRNA from 1 species
AAAAAAUAGCCGGGCGUGAUGGUGCACGCCUGUAGCCCCAGCUACCUGAGUGGCUGAGGUGGGAGAAUUGCUUGAGCCCAGGAGGUUGAGGCUGGAGUGAGCCAUGUCUCUGCCCCCGCCUCCUAAGCACCCGCCAGGACCAGUCACCACGGUUGCACUUCACACCCACAAACUCUAGAGGUCUGUGCUCACACUUGGUCCCAGCAACUGUGACCAUCUGGCCAAGGCCACCCAACCCUCCACCCAGGAUGCUCCAGGUGGCUGGAAGGUCCCCGCCCACCCUGCCACAGCCACAUUCUCCCAGCCCUACCGCCACCCUCCCCAGUGGGGCCUCCCACUUUUUUAGCUCUCGCCCCUUGGUCCCGGGACCAGGGCAACUGCGACCAUCUGCAACCUCUGCCCCUGGGCCGCCAUGUUUCCACCAUCCUUCCCUGCUUCCCUGCACACUUCUCCACCUGGCACCUCCCUAUGCUGUGCUCACCUGCCAGGGCCCUGCGCUUAGGUCCUUCUAGGUUCCCUCCAACUACCCCCAUUCUGCAGCUAGCUGGGCCUAAGGGAAGUUGCUCCCCAGGGUGGGGCGUCACUGCUGGCGGAGAAACCUGGGGAUGACCUGGGCCACUGGCUCACUCUCCUGAACCACAUCUGCACAACAUGCCCGUUAAAAAAAAAAAAGCUGCUGCCAUCCCAGCAAUUUGGGAGGCCAAGGCGGGCGGAUCAUGAGGUCAGGAGUUCAAGACCAGCCUGACCAACAUGGUGAAAUCCUGUCUCUACUAAAAAUACAACAUUUAGCCGGGCAUGGUGGCACGCAACUGUCAUCCCAGCUACUCAGCUGAGGCAGGAGGAUCACUUGAGCCCGGGAAUCUGAGACCAGCCUGGGCAACAUGGCAAAACCCCAUCUCUACAAACAAUACAAAAAUUAGCCCAGAAUGGUGGUAUGCACCUGUAGCCUAAGCUACUAGGGAGGCUGAGGUGAGAGGAUCACCUAAGCCUGGGGAGGUCAAGGCUGCAGUGAGCUCUGGUUGCAGUGUGUGCACCACUGCACUCCAGCCUGGGCAACAGAGCAAGACCCUGUCUCAAAAAUAAAAAAAUACGCUAAAUAAACUUUACAAUACAAAAGCGGUGGAUUAAAAUUUCCAUUACCGGCAUGAGCCACGGCACCCGGCUGUAAUGGACGUUUUCUA